CUCCAAGUCCUCACCAAGGUGUGGCCCCGGGGCCCUGUCCGUCAUCGGAGGGGCUGCGGGCUGGGGACUCCAGGCCUGAGCCUCCUGCAAUCUCUGCUGCUGGUGCGCGUCCCAGAGCCCUGAUCCUGCGCUGUCGCUCGCCUGCUCACAGACCUGUGGUGGCCGCCAUGGCCUGUCUGUCCCAGACAGAGGAGGGCGCAGAGCAGAGAGGAUGGCCCUUCUGGCCAGCCCUACUGACACUCCUUCUCCCAAACAGCUGUGUGCCCCAUGGCUUUGCUCAGUCACCCCUCUGUGGUCCCUGCACUGCCUGUGGUGUGAACAGAGCAUUCCUGAAGCUGGGAGCCAGCUUUGGGAGGCAAGAAGGGGAGCUGCCCAGAUGGCUGGAGGCCAGGCGGGUGCGCUGCACAUCUGGGGCAGGCUCAGUCGCCGUGUGUCAGUGGCACAGGGCUCGUUUCCCGAGCCUCAGUCUCCACAUCUGGCCGAGUGCAGGUCGAGCGAGUAAGGAUUAAAAAGCCAGGGCGGGUAAAGCCCCCAGCGCGCUGCCGGGCACCCAGUCGUACCCAAUCGGCGGUAGGCAUUGGUGCGCAUCCUGCGCAAGGGCAUUCUUCACAGACCGAGAGCGCCUCUCUCCAGCGCUGGCCUUGACCUGGGACUUGCUGGGUGAGGGCCAGGCUAGUGGCAUCAGCUCGUGCACCCAUGAGGGAAUGCCUCAGGAAGAGGAAGUCACCAUCGUAAGAAAAGGAACACUCAUUCCUUCAAAAUUCUCAUCGAAAGAUAUUUUUCCAGCAGGGGCGAUUCAGUUACGGCCAAAUUUGAUUUAAGUACCUUGAGGAGUAGAGACUCUUCAAGGUCAGGUCUGAACAAGAGGGCAACCUUCACACCACGCAGGAGACUCCCUUUCCCCCUCGGGGAACUCGCCCGAGCCAGCCUACCUGUGGGACCUCCCUGUCCCUGGGCCACCAGCAGCCCUGUGUGAUCCUUCUUGGGGCCCCAGGAAAAAUAAAGUAAGUUCCAGGCAGGAACAAUGUGCUCUGGUUAAUUAGUGCAUGUUCCCCAGUAACAAUACGG
rnacentral:lncRNA from 1 species